GGCUAGGGCGGGUGUCCCCUUCCUCCCUCACCACUCCAGGUGCGAUCCUCCUGAAGCUCGCUCCCUCAGUCCAAGAGGACAAUGCUCUCCAGACAGAGGAGGACCAGUCCUUCAUCAGGGUAUAUGAGCAGCUACGCUCCCCCGCUAGAAUCUCCAAACAAGCUCUCAAGAAUUGUGUGAAAGGGGGCUGGAGGGAUGGUUAGUGGUUUAGGCACUUGCCUGCAAAG
rnacentral:sRNA from 1 species